AGAGUUUGAUCCUGGCUCAGGAUGAACGCUAGCGGCAGGCUUAACACAUGCAAGUCGAGGGGCAUCGGGAGGGAAGCUCGCUUUCCUUGCCGGCGACCGGCGCACGGGUGAGUAACACGUAUGCAACCUGCCCUCUUCAGGGGGACAACCUUCCGAAAGGGAGGCUAAUCCCGCGUAUAUCGGUUUCGGGCAUCCGAGAUCAAGGAAAGAUUCAUCGGAAGAGGAUGGGCAUGCGGCGCAUUAGCUAGACGGCGGGGUAACGGCCCACCGUGGCGACGAUGCGUAGGGGUUCUGAGAGGAAGGUCCCCCACACUGGUACUGAGACACGGACCAGACUCCUACGGGAGGCAGCAGUGAGGAAUAUUGGUCAAUGGGAGAGAUCCUGAACCAGCCAAGCCGCGUGAGGGAAGACGGCCCUAUGGGUUGUAAACCUCUUUUGUCGGAGAACAAAACCCGGGACGAGUCCCGGACUGCGUGUAUCCGAAGAAAAAGCAUCGGCUAACUCCGUGCCAGCAGCCGCGGUAAUACGGAGGAUGCGAGCGUUAUCCGGAUUUAUUGGGUUUAAAGGAUGCGUAGGCGGUCCGUUAAGUCAGCGGUAAAAUUGCGGGGCUCAACCCCGUCGAGCCGUUGAAACUGGCAGACUUGAGUUGGCGAGAAGUACGCGGAAUGCGUGGUGUAGCGGUGAAAUGCAUAGAUAUCACGCAGAACUCCGAUCGCGAAGGCAGCCUACCGGCGCGCAACUGACGCUCAUGCACGAAAGCGUGGGUAUCGAACAGGAUUAGAUACCCUGGUAGUCCACGCAGUAAACGAUGAAUGCUAUCUGUCCGGCCGGAAUGACGGCUGGGUGGCACAGCGAAAGCGUUAAGCAUUCCACCUGGGGAGUACGCCGGCAACGGUGAAACUCAAAGGAAUUGACGGGGGCCCGCACAAGCGGAGGAACAUGUGGUUUAAUUCGAUGAUACGCGAGGAACCUUACCCGGGCUCAAACGACACAGGAAUACUUUUGAAAGGAAGUAGCUCUACGGAGCCUGUGUCGAGGUGCUGCAUGGUUGUCGUCAGCUCGUGCCGUGAGGUGUCGGCUUAAGUGCCAUAACGAGCGCAACCCCCAUCGCCAGUUACCAGCAAGUCAAGUUGGGGACUCUGGCGAGACUGCCGGCGCAAGCUGUGAGGAAGGCGGGGAUGGCGUCAAAUCAGCACGGCCCUUACGUCCGGGGCGACACACGUGUUACAAUGGCAGGUACAGAGAGAAGCAAUGCGGCGACGCAAAGCGGAACUUGAAAGCCUGUCUCAGUUCGGAUUGGAGUCUGCAACUCGACUCCAUGAAGCUGGAUUCGCUAGUAAUCGCGCAUCAGCCAUGGCGCGGUGAAUACGUUCCCGGGCCUUGCACUCACCGCCCGUCA
rnacentral:rRNA from 1 species